CGCAAUGGACGAAAGUCUGACGGAGCAACGCCGCGUGAGUGAUGAAGGUUUUCGGAUCGUAAAACUCUGUUGUUAGGGAAGAACAAGUACUAGAGUAACUGCUAGUACCUUGACGGUACCUAACCAGAAAGCCACGGCUAACUACGUGCCAGCAG
rnacentral:rRNA from 1 species